rnacentral:rRNA from 1 species
AAAUUGAAGAGUUUGAUCAUGGCUCAGAUUGAACGCUGGCGGCAGGCCUAACACAUGCAAGUCGAACGGUAACAGGAAGCAGCUUGCUGCUUCGCUGACGAGUGGCGGACGGGUGAGUAAUGUCUGGGAAACUGCCUGAUGGAGGGGGAUAACUACUGGAAACGGUAGCUAAUACCGCAUAAUGUCGCAAGACCAAAGAGGGGGACCUUCAGGCCUCUUGCCAUCGGAUGUGCCCAGAUGGGAUUAGCUUGUUGGUGGGGUAACGGCUCACCAAGGCGACGAUCCCUAGCUGGUCUGAGAGGAUGACCAGCCACACUGGAACUGAGACACGGUCCAGACUCCUACGGGAGGCAGCAGUGGGGAAUAUUGCACAAUGGGCGCAAGCCUGAUGCAGCCAUGCCGCGUGUAUGAAGAAGGCCUUCGGGUUGUAAAGUACUUUCAGCGGGGAGGAAGGGAGUAAAGUUAAUACCUUUGCUCAUUGACGUUACCCGCAGAAGAAGCACCGGCUAACUCCGUGCCAGCAGCCGCGGUAAUACGGAGGGUGCAAGCGUUAAUCGGAAUUACUGGGCGUAAAGCGCACGCAGGCGGUUUGUUAAGUCAGAUGUGAAAUCCCCGGGCUCAACCUGGGAACUGCAUCUGAUACUGGCAAGCUUGAGUCUCGUAGAGGGGGGUAGAAUUCCAGGUGUAGCGGUGAAAUGCGUAGAGAUCUGGAGGAAUACCGGUGGCGAAGGCGGCCCCCUGGACGAAGACUGACGCUCAGGUGCGAAAGCGUGGGGAGCAAACAGGAUUAGAUACCCUGGUAGUCCACGCCGUAAACGAUGUCGACUUGGAGGUUGUGCCCUUGAGGCGUGGCUUCCGGAGCUAACGCGUUAAGUCGACCGCCUGGGGAGUACGGCCGCAAGGUUAAAACUCAAAUGAAUUGACGGGGGCCCGCACAAGCGGUGGAGCAUGUGGUUUAAUUCGAUGCAACGCGAAGAACCUUACCUGGUCUUGACAUCCACGGAAGUUUUCAGAGAUGAGAAUGUGCCUUCGGGAACCGUGAGACAGGUGCUGCAUGGCUGUCGUCAGCUCGUGUUGUGAAAUGUUGGGUUAAGUCCCGCAACGAGCGCAACCCUUAUCCUUUGUUGCCAGCGGUCCGGCCGGGAACUCAAAGGAGACUGCCAGUGAUAAACUGGAGGAAGGUGGGGAUGACGUCAAGUCAUCAUGGCCCUUACGACCAGGGCUACACACGUGCUACAAUGGCGCAUACAAAGAGAAGCGACCUCGCGAGAGCAAGCGGACCUCAUAAAGUGCGUCGUAGUCCGGAUUGGAGUCUGCAACUCGACUCCAUGAAGUCGGAAUCGCUAGUAAUCGUGGAUCAGAAUGCCACGGUGAAUACGUUCCCGGGCCUUGUACACACCGCCCGUCACACCAUGGGAGUGGGUUGCAAAAGAAGUAGGUAGCUUAACCUUCGGGAGGGCGCUUACCACUUUGUGAUUCAUGACUGGGGUGAAGUCGUAACAAGGUAACCGUAGGGGAACCUGCGGUUGGAUCACCUCCUUA